AUGAAGAACCCAUUUCGUUUUGAAUUCCUGACCCUUUCUCCUGGUCGCUCUGCUAAAUUCAAGUCCCGCAGGAAGAUAACAGAGUUGGGAGGAGGAGACCAAAGAUGGUUAAACCAGGGGAACAGGAUCUGCGGAUGGUGCAAGAAGAGGGCUGAGGGCCACUCACCGCUCCUCCCCUGCAGUCCACUGCCCGGUAUUCCUGCCUCUCAGCUCGGCGGACGGUCCGGCUUCCACCACCGGGGCUCUUCAGGCAGGCGGCCCGAGGUGCGCCUCCACCCUUGUCCUCUUGCAGACCUCGUCGCGCCUUCGUCUUCCCUGCUCAGGCCUCUCCCGCUUGUCCGCUCGCCCUGCCCACCCCCAGAAAACGAACCGCGAGACCAGGACACUUCCGGCUUUAGCGUGAGCCCACCCCUCUCUCCUCUCCAGGUGCUUCAUCUUUAACCAAAGGCCUGGUUUCUAGAGUAGAAAAACCUGCUUGGCCCUGGGUUGCUCUCACCAUGGGCUCACCACUGAGACCCAAGGUGAGGAAGCUGGGGUGCCCCCCACCCCCGCCCCGGGCAGGUUCUGAGGGUGGCUAACAGAUGGGUGGCAGGCUGCAGGGAGCAAGAGCUCAGGAGAGAGUGUCAUCAGGAUCUGCUCUCUCCUGCUAGUUUCUUCCUUCACGCUGGAGCCAAAGUCACAGCUCACCCAGGAGGGCAGCUCCUGCCGGCAGGAUAAAAAUACCCCUCAGUUUGACUACUGAGCCCAUGCGUGGCCAACUCAGCCAUGAAAGGCCAGGAGAGAGCAAACAGGGCGGAAUGGCGCUGACUUCCCUGCUUGCUGACACAUGGACGAGGCGGGAUAAAGCCUUGAUGAUGAGCAUGAAUGUUUCUUUUAUUGUUCAUCAAGCCCUUCGAGGAAUUAUGGGAGCUCCAGACCAUUUUCUCAGGGGGAAAAAAAAAUCCAUAGAGGUGUAUUUUCACACAAAAUUACAGACAAUCUCAGAGGAUAUACAGAACUCUUGAUGCUAAGAGGUCCAUAAUUCCCUGGGCCAGAACAGACACUAUAGCAGAGCAGAAAGGAUUUAGAAGCCAGCCAUUGGAAAUAGCAUUAAGCUGCUGGAAAAGGGUGGAAGCAAUGGUGUUGAUCUCCACCCUGAGAAUCCUUCUGUCUGCACCAGGGAUGCAGCACAGUGGGGGAUACUCUAAAUGUGAGACAGACCCUUGGGCACUACAGCGCAAGACCAGAAAUAGUAAGGAGAUACCUUGGACCAAAAUCGAUAGAAGAGCUCCCUGGGAAGCAGCUGGAGAAGAAAGCCCCGGAGAGCUGAUAUAUAAUCCAGCCUCCACCGAUGAGGCAUUUCUAAAAUCAACUGCCGCAUCCCUGGCUGUCAGAGGUGGCCUCUGUCAGGUGUUAGAGGUUUCCAGGGCACUUCGGAUCAGCUAGUUCUCUGCCAAGUCAUGCGAUCACCACCCUAAUGCAAAGAGUGAAAGUUGCUCAGUCGUGUCUGACUCUGCAACCCCAUGGACUGUAGCCUGCUAGGCUCCUCUGUCCAUGGAAUUCUCCAGACCAGAAUACUGGAGUGGGUAGCUGCUCCCUUCUCUAGGGGACCUUCCCAACCCAGGUCUCCUGCACUGCAGGCAGAUUGUUUACCAGCUGAGCCACCAGGGAAGAUACACUAAUGCCAAAGCCAGCAGUUAUGCAACACUGAGAUUAGUGUUCCCACCAGUGGGUGGGGAGGUCGGGGGGCAGGGUUUGUAGCAGUGGAAGGAGGAGCAUCUCAGUGCCCUUGAACAUACGGGAAGUGCCACCAGAGGGUCAGGCCAUAGGAUCAGACAGGAAAGAAAGAGACGUGAGAGUGCCUGAGGUGGGGGGGGGGUCCCAGAAUUCCAUUGAGAACAAUCAUGUUUUUCUCCAAUCAUGUUUUUCAUGCUCAACAACUGUGGCUCCUCUUGAGAACUCAAGAGCCAGCAUUUGGGCCUGUUGAGAGCAGCAGAGUCCUCAGGUCAGUCUCUUAUCGAUUACUUAUCAGACGUAAACACAUAUUCUGUAUUAAGGGCAAAGAUUCUAUUUUCAAAGAGGUUCAUUCAAUUGAUUGAAGAAGUUUAACUGAGAGCACUGGAACAGCCCAGGCUGCUCCAUGGUCUAGCCAACAUUCACCCUCUCUCCCACUCUGCCCAGUCUGGUCUGUACCUCUCUGCUCCUGCUGCCUCCAGAUUUCUGAUUACAAGUGUCCCAUCGCUCUCAACACACAGUCACUGUAGAGCAAUGGGAUACUUGUAACCAGAAACAGUUUGCAAUUGCUUCAAUGUAAUGUUGGUAUCUACAGCUUUGCCCAGCUUCAGAACUCAACCCCUAGCAAACACCUUGAAGGAAAAGAAGCCUUGGUCCAGGCGUGAGGCAAGGUGGGCUGUAGUCUUAGUUUUUCACUCAGUUCAGUUCAGUCGCUCAGUCAUGUUCGACUCUUUGCGAUGCCAUGAAUCGCAGCACACCAGGCCUCCCUGUCCAUCAUCAACUCCCAGAGUUCACCCAAACUCAUGUGCAUGGAGUCAGUGAUGCCAUCCAGCCAUCGCAUCCUCUGUCGUCCCCUUCUCCUCCUGCCCGCAAUGCCUCCCAGCAUCAGAGUCUUUUCCAAUGAGUCAACUCUUCACGUGAGGUGGCCAAAGUAUUGGAGUUUCAGCCUCAGCGUUACUCCUUCCAAAGAACACCCAGGACUGAUCUCCUUCAGAAUGGACUGGUUGGAUCUCCUUGCAGUCCAAGGGACUCUCAAGAGUCUUCUCCAACACCACAGUUCAAAUCAAUUCUUCAGCACUCAGCUUUCUUCACAGUCCAACUCUCACAUCCAUACAUGACCACUGGAAAAACCAUAGCCUUGACUAGAUGGACCUUUAUUGGCAAAGUAAUAUCUUUGCUUUUUAAUCUGGUUUUUAUUUCUGGUUUUCCACUAACAUGUAUGUUUUUCUGUGUCCCUCAGUUCCCUCAGUCUCCUCACUUGGAUAUCAGGGGACCGGAUACAAAGAGCUCUGUGAUGCCUUUUGACUUCCCUGUACAGUCAAGGACAGCUGCAAGGUGGAGAUCUUCCAAAGGUCACCAAGAGCACCAAGCCUUCUAGCCCCAGUGCCAGGGGUUGACCUCAAAAGGAAUUCCAGUUCUUUCACCCAGCUCACACCAUAGCCCUCUGAAAAGGUUACACAGUGUCUCCUCGAAGUCCCGUCAGUGGAAAUUCGAGUGGAUUGUUAUUGCUUUCUUCUUCCAAGGCCCAUUCCCUCCUCCCCUAAUAAUGGAACCCUAGUUUUCCUUUAAGGAGUUGUCCUUUCUCUGUUGCCAGUCCUUGAGGGUUGAGCUCCAGGGACAGGCUCAUGAAAAGCUGGGCAAAAAGCCUAUUUUCCACCUCAGUGGUUGACUGAUGAUGGGAUAAAGGACAAAGGCAGACUCAAAUCAAGACGUUGGCCAGAGAUGCUGGAGGCCUUUGGCUUCUUUAUGGAAUGAAGUCUCACAGAAGAAAUCAGAGCUGGGAGCUGAAGAGGAGACAAUUGUUGAGAACAACAUUUGAGCCCCUAGAUCCAGUCAUGCCUGAAAGCCUAUACGUGGACUUUCAAUUACCUGAGCAAAUAAAUCCAUUCCCACUUUUUUGUUGUUGAAGGGAAUUUGAAUUGAAUUAGGUGUCAAUAAUAAAGUGUUCUUUGAACUUUCUGCUUUUCUCAUUCAUGCAUGCCUGUCAAUGUUGCCAAAUCUGAGUUAUUUCUGAUUAAAAGAAGAGGAAGGGGAGGAAGAGGGGGAGGAAGUAGCAGAACAAGAGAAAGAGAGAGAAGGAUAAGAAGUAGAAGUUGUUAAAUCUAAAAGCUGCAUAAAAGGCAAGGUCUAAUGCACUGUUGGUAAUUAUAUAUAGCACUGUUGUUACCACUUCCUGCCCUGUACCCAUCAAAAAUAUCACUCAUUUAUAAGAAUUCUUCUCAAUGCAGAAUUCUUGGCACCCACUGCUAAUCACCUGCAGUUGACUCCAGCCUGAAAUCUAUUUCCAACAAAGCUAAGACGUCUACUGAUUCAAUGGACAUGAACUUGGGCGAACUCUGGGAGAUGGUGAGGGACAGGGAGGUCUGGAGUGCUGCAGUCCAUGGGGUCGUGAAGAGUCAGACACGAUGUAGCUACUGAACAACAAUUAAGACCCCUACAGCACUACACUGUGACUGAUGCCAGUCCCAGGACUGGGAGAUGGUUUAAACCAAAGCAGAGCAUUAACCACCAUGGCCAGUCUGGAGGACACGUUGAUCCCAAAGACAGAAGCAACUCUGCCAUACUGGCAAAAUCAAAUAGUGCUAAUAAGUAGCCCCGAGCCACUGCUAGGGGCUUAACCCACAGGGCUAGGCGGCCUCACAUGGCAGCCUCAGGGUGGAGGUGGGGGACUCAGUCCUGGCCCACGCCCAGUGUCAACACUGGCCACAACGUGACGACCCUGUAUGCCCACUGGCAACUCGGGGCUCCCACGGCUGCCAAUUCUGAGCAGGUGACAUCUUCUUGGGCAUCAACCUCUGACGACAAUAAGUGCUGGUUCUAAGCUGGAGCAUUUCUAAUCCUCAAGCUGACGGAUGCUUUUCUGCCUCCCUCAGAACUCAAAAUCAACCUGACGUUUCUCAAAUCACAUCUUGAAGGCAAAUGAGUCUGUAACGUGCACCAAAGCCUAAGCCAGCCAGGGAAAGGAGGAGAAAAUAGAAACAUCCUGGCUCCCUCCCCUAAAUGUGAAUAUUCUUUCUAUAUUGGUGGGGGCAGGGGGAGAGGGGAGGGGAACAUCUCCAAGGGAUGGGAAUUUCCCAAGAACCAGGUGCUCUCUGGUGUCCCUGAGGGUUCAGAGCAGCCUCACGACACAGGAUGAAAAUUAAGGAGAAGCAAGACUGGCGAUGAAGAGGUGAGGCGCCUUGACUUCCCG
rnacentral:lncRNA from 1 species